GCAGUCGACGAUGACCACUUCGGUGGGGACUAGUGGCGAACGGGUGAGUAACACGUGGGCAAUCUGCCCUUCACUCUGGGACAAGCCCUGGAAACGGGGUCUAAUACCGGAUAUCACUUCCACUCGCAUGGGUGGGGGUUGAAAGCUCCGGCGGUGAAGGAUGAGCCCGCGGCCUAUCAGCUUGUUGGUGAGGCAAUGGCUCACCAAGGCGACGACGGGUAGCCGGCCUGAGAGGGCGACCGGCCACACUGGGACUGAGACACGGCCCAGACUCCUACGGGAGGCAGCAGUGGGGAAUAUUGCACAAUGGGCGAAAGCCUGAUGCAGCGACGCCGCGUGAGGGAUGACGGCCUUCGGGUUGUAAACCUCUUUCAGCAGGGAAGAAGCGAAAGUGACGGUACCUGCAGAAGAAGCGCCGGCUAACUACGUGCCAGCAGCCGCGGUAAUACGUAGGGCGCAAGCGUUGUCCGGAAUUAUUGGGCGUAAAGAGCUCGUAGGCGGUCUGUCACGUCGGAUGUGAAAGCCCGGGGCUUAACCCCGGGUCUGCAUUCGAUACGGGCAGACUAGAGUGUGGUAGGGGAGAUCGGAAUUCCUGGUGUAACGGUGAAAUGCGCAGAUAUCAGGAGGAACACCGGUGGCGAAGGCGGAUCUCUGGGCCAUUACUGACUCUGAGGAGCGAAAGCGUGGGGAGCGAACAGGAUUAGAUACCCUGGUAGUCCACGCCGUAAACGGUGGG
rnacentral:rRNA from 1 species